UGCUCUUUAAAUAUGAGUGCUCUACAGUAAGAUUGUAAACUUUAAUUAUAUGUGUCUGUUUUUGCAGUGACUCAAUGUGGAUUGUGAAGACACAGAAGGGGACGCAUUUGGAUCUUGAAUCAUGAAUGUUGAAUCUUGAUGCUCACAGAAAAGGAAGUCAACCAGACAGGCUCUGAAAAUUGAUGAAAUGGAACAAAUUAUUUGGACAAGACACUAGAAAAAUUCUACUCGGUCGGUUUUGAAAUCAUACCUCAAGAUACUUGCGAGAUCUUCGUCUGCACUGCACUAGCAUUUCAGG